AUGAAAUUUACAUUUUCUUUUUUUAAAAAUUCACUCAAAAUUAGCAUGACAAUCAAUGGAAACCUAGUUAAUGACUAAAAUAAUAAUAAAAAAUAGAUGCGGUAUACAUAAACCUUAAUUAUUAUAAAGGCUUUUAAAGUAUGUAACUAUUAAAGGCCCAGUAUUAUGCAGAAUUUCCUUUCUGCACAUUUCUGUUCUUCCAAUGGGGUACUGCUAAUAGAAGAAGUCCAAAAAAAAAAAAAAAGAGCGAGAACAAUAAAACACCCAGUUGAUUUUUUUGGGGAAUAAGUAAAUGUUCUACAGGUGUAUGCAAAACCACCUGUUUCAAAAACUUCUGAAUUGUUCCACAAUUUUUAUUAUUUAGCAACCCCCAGCCGAGCCCAGCCCCUAACCUGGCGACCCACCCAAGUGAAGCUCCACCCACUUCGUUACAAGACCACGCCCACGUUUGUUCUGCUGAAUUACCGCUGCAAUGGCUGCUGGGAAAUGAAAGCUUUUUGCUCUUGUCCGCUAUCAAUCAAUUCUGAGCACGUGUCCAUUUUCUCACAGACAUGGGGAACAGAGCUGCGUGGCUUCAUUUUAUUUUUGCUUGAAAAAUCCCUGCGGUAUUUGCCAAAGUUGUAGUCUGCGCAAACCAGUUUGUGAAGGAGUCCUUUGAAAAUCACCAACACUGGAGGUUUUACCAAAAGACUUCUACCAAAGGAAGGUUCUGCUCCUACUGUUCCACAAAUCUGUAGAUGACGGCGAUAUGACAGACAUCCUGUCCUCCACUCCAUUCACUCCGUUCGGGAUCUUGGUGAAGUCGUCUUUGCCCAGGGCCUUCUGGCACACAGAAAAGACAUGCCCCUGGCCCCCCACUCACCAUCCCUGCGUGCAUCAGCCACCACCUUGGCAGCAGAUUUGCUCAUGACAUGGACCACGUAGAGGGGGCAGUUGACAACGUGGGCAAUGGUGAUCGCUCGCUGCGUGGCCUCGGCCUCCACCUCCUCUGGCCG